AAAUACACCAACGGUAGUUACAACUUAGACUGAGGGAAGAAACAACAUUGACAACAUGACACAAACUACAACAAGAAGAGUUCUACCUUGCUUUUUGCUCACUGACAGCUGUCCUCUCAUAUGCUGUUAGUCAGGAGGAAGAUGUUGGGAACAAUAGCUGUUCCUCAACCACCUUGAUGUUUAAACCACUCUCUACUCAGCUUGCAGAGGCAGCACGAUGUGCUGAAAACAUUACUAGCCAGUGGAGCGAUGACCAGACUGCUGCUUUUAGUGUAACCCAUAAUUUUACUUUGUGCCUUUCUAAAUGUAUUACUUAAGUAAU